rnacentral:rRNA from 1 species
ACAGGGAUUGCCUUAGUAACGGCGAGUGAAGCGGCAACAGCUCAAAUUUGAAAUCUGGCCCUCGGGUCCGAAUUGUAAUUUGUAGAGGAUGAUUUUGGUGCGGUAUCUUCCGAGUUCCUUGGAACAGGACGCCUUAGAGGGUGAGAGCCCCGUACGGUUGAAUGCCUAGCCUCUGUAAAUCUCCUUCGACGAGUCGAGUAGUUUGGGAAUGCUGCUCUAAAUGGGAGGUAAAUUUCUUCUAAAGCUAAAUAUUGGCCAGAGACCGAUAGCGCACAAGUAGAGUGAUCGAAAGAUGAAAAGCACUUUGAAAAGAGGGUUAAAUAGCACGUGAAAUUGUUGAAAGGGAAGGAUUUGUGACCAGACUUUUUCUGGGCGGAUCAUCCGGGGUUCUCUCCGGUGCACUUUGCCCAGUAAAGGCCAGCAUCGAUUUUCGGCGGCGGAUAAAAGCAGUGGGAAUGUGGCUCCUUACGGGGAGUGUUAUAGCCCAUUGUAUAAUACGCUGCUGGGGAUCGAGGUACGCGCUUCUGCAAGGAUGCUGGCGUAAUGGUUAUCAAUCACCCGUCUUGAAACACGGACCAAGGAGUCGAACAUUUAUGCGAGUGUUUGGGUGUUAAACCCUCACGCGUAAUGAAAGUGAACGGAGGUGAGAGCCCUUACGGGUGCAUCAUCGACCGAUCCUGAAGUUUUCGGAUGGAUUUGAGUAAGAGCAUAACUGUUCGGACCCGAAAGAUGGUGAACUAUGCGUGGAUAGGGUGAAGCCAGAGGAAACUCUGGUGGAGGCUCGCAGCGGUUCUGACGUGCAAAUCGAUCGUCAAAUCUGCGCAUGGGGGCGAAAGACUAAUCGAACCAUCUAGUAGCUGGUUACCGCCGAA